rnacentral:lncRNA from 1 species
GCUUAUCUGUUGGGCCGGUAUGUCACACUAACAGAGAGAAAAGAAGAAGAAAAAAACAAAACAAAACGGAGAAAUGGGGGAUAAAAGGCCCUCGCUAAACUAAGGACUUUGGAGAAGAACUCCCAAAGAAACCUUCGAUGGAGAAUUCCCUGAGGGAAAAACCACUUUGGAAGAACCCCCCCCCAGCGGAGGCUGCUUGCUGCGAAGAUUCCAGGCUUUCUCCCAUCCCCCACAGUGACCAGACCAGUUCUACAAACCUCGCCGGACCCACGGUGAUAAAAUUCAGACACAAGCAAAUGAAUUGAGGAGAGAAGAACAGAACAGCACUUUACUGACACAAAAAAGAUGAGAAAGCUGUCACUAUUUUUGAAGACCUAUACUUGACAACUGUAACAAGAUGUGGACAGAAGAGAUGAAGAAGUCCUAAAGAUUACCAAGCUGAAACUUAAGUGCUCUCCUGAGACCUUACCUGGCAUAAGGCUUUCAACCUUGUGACCCACAUCAUAAAAAGGACAUGGACCUUGAGGAAGAGGAGAACCAUCAGGAUAUGCAGAGGGCUGGAGGAACUCUCCUACAAAAGAAAAUGAAAGAGUUGGAGUUAUUCAGCCUAGAGAAGAGAAGGCCCUAGGGAGGCAUUUUAAAGGCCUUCCAGUACCUAAAGGGGCCUACAGAAAAG